rnacentral:misc_RNA from 1 species
GAACGCACAUUGCGCCCCCUGGUAUUCCGGGGGGCACCCCUGUUCGAGCGCCAUUUCAACCCUCAAGCCUUGCUUGGUGAUGGGCCCCGCCCGCGCGGCGGGCCCGAAACUCGUGGGCGCCCCAGGCCGGACUCCAAGCGUAGCAAAACCCUCGCUUGCGGACGACCGGUCGGAGGCCGCCCCGGACCCCCAAUAUUUAUCAAUGGUUGGCCUCGGAUCAGGUGGGGAUACCCGCUGAACUUAAG